GCCAUUUUGUCGUACGGCUGUGACUCGUCCCGACUCCAGAGCGCCGCCAGCGGAACUCUCUCCACUCAGCGCUCCUGAGACUCGGCCAAUCCGACACUUCCUGCGGCGGGCCAACCGCCAGCGAGUCGCGUGCGGGGCGGGGCGGGCCGAGCCACCUUCCAGGUAGGGGCGGGGCAACGGACGGGCAGCGGGGGAAUGGGCCCGCCAAGGCGCGCCGGGUGCACCGAGGCCGAGACUCUCAUGAGGGAAACAGGACCUUUUCCUUCCGAUGGGCGACGGUCAGAGCUGCUUUCCCACCCGCCACGUGCCUGCUCCCACGGCUUCUUCGACGGCGCCCACCCGCCCCUUCCGCGGGCUGCGCGCCCCUCGCUGCUUCUACGGCUCCCAAUCCUGAAAGCAACACACGUGCACGCAAACGGUCACCGCAGUGGGUUGUUGUUACUACUGUUGUUGAUUUGCUUUUCAAGCUUCACCACAGAACUAAGGACCAACCAAGUACGCGGACGUAGGGGUUCUCCGUCCAUUUCCGGAGGGUCUCUGAGGCGCAGGCGGUGAUGGCCCGGCAGCCGCGCCUGGGGACCGGCGGCACGGGGCGCUCUGAGGAGGCUCGGUGCGAGUCGCCGCGGGAGGCCGGAAGACGGAGGAGCCUCGGAAAACACCUCGGGGCUCGGGCCCGUCUCCUUCCCUCCGGGGGAGCUGAGGAAAGAAGGAAGAGAGAAGAAGCCGACCUGGAUGCCCGCCUCACCGCAUCCACCUCGCCGUUUGAGGGAGGCUGGAGGGACUCGGAGGCAAGGGGGGUCCGAAGGUGAGGUCCUGGCGAACCCGACAGGCUGGCGGCGCGGGUCCCGUCGCGGCGAGGCCCGCCUCCAGCACCGCCGCGCACUCCCGGGAGACUGAAGACCACUGGACUGCGGAAGAGUAGCAGGAUUGUCAACCUGCACUGAGAUCUACUGGAGGCUUAUCAUUCAAGUGUGGACGAACAGGGUCACAUGCUAACCAGUCAAGCUCAGGGAAGACCUGCAUGGCGGUCUUGCAAACUCAAAGACUUAAAGUAACCACAAAAGAUGGUCUAAAAUUAAACUUUAACUAAAAGCAGUUAUGGUGGGUAGUUACUUCCUAGGCUGGUGUCCUCCCUGACAAGGUCAAUCUUUACUUUAACUGAGCUUAUUGUCUUUUUGCAUCUAUGAUAACAUAUUGAAAUGUCAGGGUAACGUAUAACUUCCCUUUUUCGCAGACCCUGAGGGCACAACCAAAUUCCUUUGCUUUCUCUGGCCUCUCUAAUCUAUCACCAGUGGAUUUCAUGUAACCUUCCUAUGUCUCUUCCUCACAAAAAUUCUUUACAGGUUUGAAUG